AUUAAAACAACAAAUAUGCAAAUAAAUACAUCACUCAAGUCUCUCUCUCAAAAAAAUGAAGAGUACAUAUGUAAUUAUACAUAUACAUACUGCAUAUAUACUCAGAUACUCGCUCAAAUAGUUAAAACAAUCAACAAUUUAAGUUAAUCCACAACAACAUUAUAUUACAAAACAACAGAUAUCUAUGUAAUAAAUUAUAUCACAUAAGGUUAAACUCUAUAACAAUAUGCACAUAUGUCAUAUCUCUGUAUCAACUAUCAACACAUUGUCACAUAAUAAUACACAUACUUGUAUACUAUUUAUCUGUACAUAUAUAUUCAGGUAUACAUACAAUAGAAAAUAAUACUAAUCACAACAUUGUCUUUAAAUUUUAAGCACAAAUUCAAAUGACAAAUAAAUAAUUUGUUCAAACUAUAACUAUAGUUCUCGACACAACCUCGUGCAAACUGUCCAUGCACAUAUAGACACGGUACGACUGUCUAAAUCGGAAUCACCGGAAAUAAAGUCACUGACACACUGGCGGAAUUAAGGCGUGAAUAACGUAAAAUGUGGAACGAGAAAAGUCCGGCCAACAUCAAGGACAACACAGGAAGAAAAAUAUGAAGAUGGACAUGAAAAUGGAAUAAUGAAAACAUGAAGAUGAUGAUGAAUGACAAAUGGGACGGAAUGUAAGGAAAGGAAUGCGUAAUCCUCGGUCUGGCUCGCGAUCGCGGCUGUAGUGUGUACAGGAGGAACGUCUGGCUGAGCAACUGGCGGACACGAAGGAAUUCCAGAUGACCCGAACUUGGAAGGCAAAGUGGGUGGCAAGGUCGCAGACGACACAACGGAUGGUGUAACAACGUAUGAAGGCAGCAAUGGAGCAAAGAUGGAUGGCUGAACUGAUGAAAUGAUAGCGGAUGAUGUGGCGGAUGGCAGACAGGAUGAACUGAUGGUAGAGGAACUUGCGGAAAAAGCAGAUGAGGUCGCAGGUGCCUGUGGCGGAGCAGAUGCCAGGGUGCUGGUGGUCGGUGCAACUGGGAGACGAGAAACAAAUUUCAGACUACCCGGAUCAAUGUAAUUACUAUUUGGUUUGAGUUCAUGUCGACACAGCUGGAGAUGAUUUUCUAGAGGCACCUGGGACAAGUGAUGAAUACUGCGGAGGUGGAAACGCAUAUCUGUCUUUCUCUUGCAAGUAGAUUUACAUCCUGGGAUGGAACAAUGGAAAAUAACAUGAUGGGGCUUGUGCUUCGUCUCCCAGUGCCUGGCAUAACUCUUCCUGGUGGUAAAGGAGGUAAAGCCACAGGACACUACAGGACAAUUCAUUCCGGAAUGGAACUCAAAGGGGCAGGAUGAAGAUUCCAGAAGUUCCGCAAGAUCCUCAUCGUGGACCAAAAGGUCAAGGACAUCAGUGUCCAUAAUUGACAUGACUAUAUAAAGUGGUGGUGAUGAAAACGAUGAUAAGGAUGGGAUCAAACGAUGAUGAUAAUGAUGAUGAUGAUGAAAAUGUUGUAAGGAUGAUCCAAAUGAAACUGUAAAUAAAUAAACACAUAGUUUGAGGAAAUAGCAAACAUGUUGCUUACCAUUUUAAGUACAUGUAAACACUAAUAAAGUGUAUUGUAUAUUUUCUUUAACAAAAUUUUCUGUGAACAAAAUGUAUAACCCCAAAGGAAAAAUCUAUGAAUUGCAUACACUCGGACCUUUCUAAAAUGUCACAAUGACAACAGGUCAUAUAUUUUACUCAAUGUUGAGAAUAUAUCUUGUCUCCUCUCAUCAAUCAGUUCCUAUAUGUAGGUAACUAACUAGUAUGUAUACAAUAACUGUAACUAGUCAGUAUACAAUAACUGUAACUAUUCAGUAUGCAAUAACUGUAUAAUUAUGUAGGCAUCAAGCUAUUUAGUAUACAAUAACUGUAAAAUAGCAAACCUAUGUUCAAACAAAUAUUAAUAGCAAAUAUUAUGUAUGUAUAAGCACACAGAUUGCAAUAAUCUGAUCACUAUGCUACACUGAAAUAUAUCAGUCAUGACUCAGGUACUAUGACCUACUGUACUUCGAAACAAUAACUUGAAUUACUCCAUGCAUGAAUACAAUAUCAUGUACAUGAGUAUACCUGUAACUAUUUAUACAUGUACCCUUGUUUACAAAAAUGACCUCAAA